UGUGCUACUUCUGACUUGUGACGUCGCAACCGUUAACAAGUAGCAAUGUGAGAGGUGCGAACCGAGAGGCAACACCAAGCCGAAAAGCACAUAACUUCGAUUCCCGUUCCUCGACCUCUCCUCUAACCCAACACCCACUCGCUAUCUCUGCUUGAACAGAAUACCUGGGUCGAAGCACCAGCUGAACUCGGACAGCCAGACUUCAGAAAUCUCCAGACGGCAUGGAAGAAACAGCAGUUAGAGAGGAUGGUGCAGUGAUCCGAUUUGCUGAGUAUGUCGGGUCGUUUUCGGUGGACGACAGCUGCCUAGAUGAUCAAAUGGAGCAGUUGCACAGGAACCUGAAGACCCUGAAUACAUGCAAUUAAAGUAGGCCUGUAUCCCCUCAAGUUCUCCAUCAAAGUGUGAAAAUGUACGACGAGGAUGAAACGACCCUUCUGAUGGCCCACGCCCUUCGUAGAGUGUCACUGUCUACCGCUCGGCCCAGCGACUCCCAGUUUGCCUUCGUCUCCCACAGCGCCGACGCCCAGCUGUGCUACCAUGUUUUCAGAUCCUAUCAAAUCCAGCGCCCACUAGCGUCCGAUCUUUAUGCAACAGUGCCCCUCACAGGGAAAUGGCCGCUAACGUUAGCAUGGUCGCUAAAGUUAGCUUGGUUGUGGUGUGGUUGUCCCGCCUGGGAGGGUCGCGACGGGUUCUGAUCAGGGAUCCUGCGGUGAUGAUUGCAUCUUUUUUUUUUCAAAGCCGAUGACAUCGAUUUUGUUGUCUUGUUUUUUCGCUGGCUAGUGAUUUGCUUGAGGAGGUGGAGGAGGCGGAGUUCUCAAAUAUGUACAUGUAUGUAUGUAGGCUCAAAUAUGUACAUAAAUGUCAUUCACAGCAGUGAGUUAUGUGCAGGCAGAAAUCUAUUAACUACAUUCGACUGAAUAUGUGUGCGUGUGUGUGUGCGCGUGCACAUCCUGGAAAGUGCUGCUGCUGUUCAGACUGCAAAGCAAACACAGUGAGCAGACUCAGCACACACAGUCGGCCUGUAAAGUCCCCCCCCCCCCAGUUCCCAUUCACUUCCUUCCCUGCUUCCUUUCUUAGUGUCUCCUGCCUACUUCGUCUGUCCAAUGACAGAGCGCCUUCCGUGAUCUCCCUGGUGAUGCAUUUUGAUUGCGAGAAAAACGGCCGGUUAUGACUGUUAAUCAUCCUGGGACACAACUUCAAAAAUGUUUGGAUGAUGAUGGUUGACACAUAAUGAUGAUUUUUUUUUUUUUGUGUAGCAAGUAUGUUGCAAUACAUCCACUCUUUGCCUUGUUUUGUGCUAGUUUAGCUUCGCAUUGUUGUAGUUUUUAAUGUUUUGCCCUGCACACGUCUGUAUCGUUCUGUUUUUUUUAGUGCUCAAUCAACCCUUAGUGCGUCUUGCGCUAAUCGCGGCAUCCACGCAUGUUCUUAUCCCUUAUGCGUUUAUUGCAUCAUAUUGCCUCCAACAUUAAAAAAUAAAUAAAGGAAUAAUCAAGGAAAGGAAUAAUCAUGAGUUGGUCAAGUCGUAAUGCAUGCAUUUGAAAAUGUCAAACAUUUUAGGUGGACCCAAAUGCCUUCUAUUACCGUUUUUUUCCGUGUAUAGUGCGCCCCCAUGUAUAAUACGCACCCUAAAAAUGGCAUGCUGAUGCUGGAAAAAAGCCUGUACCCAUGUAUAAUACGCACCCAAUUUUUAUGAAUUUUCUUUAUGAAUUUUUUUUUUUUUUUUUAAGUCCCAAUGAUCGUCACACACGCAGGGAGGCAAUGGGUCCCAUUUUUAUAGUCUUUGGUAUGGUCUUAACUAGGCUGGAUGUAAUUUUUUUUGUUGGCGUUGAUUUCUCCGACUGCCCUUAAACGCACCACCGCGCUCCGUGCGCGCACGGGAAAGAGGCGUGCGGACGUGAAAAAGGCGGCUCUGUAUGGGAGAGACGUUGAAGAGGAAUAAAAACACCCUUGGAAACCAAAACUUGGUGAUUUCAAGUUUCAUUUCGAGGGACAUUUGUCACGUCUCGUCCCCAGUUUUGCUAUGUGUCUAGGUUGCCAUAGUUUCUGUUCGCGUCGCCCCUCUCUUCCUGUGUCACCUCAAUCGAUGUAACGUGUUUUGUAUUUAAGUCCUGUCUGCCCCUCGCUCACCGUCGGAUCAUUGCAUGUGUUACUGUCAUGAUGUCUGUUUGCUUUCUGUUCCUGUCUUUGGUAAUGUCACCCUGUCUUUUUGUUCCACGACUUUGUCGGUCAGUCCUGUUGUUGGUUUUGUUUUCUAAAAAAAAAAAAAAAAAAAAA